ACAAUGCGGAACAAUGUUUUGCAAUUGGAUUGAGAACAACGUACAAACCUUAUCGAUAAACAAUUGGAGGGCAAGUCUGGUGCCAGCAGCCGCGGUAAUUCCAGCUCCAAUAGCGUAUAUUAACGUUGUUGCAGUUAAAAAGCUCGUAGUUGAAAUGAAGGGUAGUUGUGUAAUGAAUACAUUCGUGUAUUUUGUUAUUCAAGUACCCUCCUUCUAAAUUCGAUAUAUGAGUAUUAAUUUACUUGUAUAUGGUUUUAGACAUUUACUGUGAGAAAAUUAGAGUGUUCAAAGCAGGCAUUUGCUUGAAUAUAUUAGCAUGGAAUAAUCAUGUAUGAUUUUCAUGAUGUAUUUGAUUGGUUUGGUUGAUGAGAAUAAGAUUAAAAGGGACAGUUGGGGGUAUUCAUAUUCAAUAGUCAGAGGUGAAAUUCUCGGAUUUAUGGAAGAUGAAC
rnacentral:rRNA from 1 species